AUUGAACGCUGGCGGCAGGCCUAACACAUGCAAGUCGAACGAGUGGCGGACGGGUGAGUAAUGUCUGGGCAACUGCCUGAUGGAGGGGGAUAACUACUGGAAACGGUAGCUAAUACCGCAUACCAUCGGAUUUGCCCAGAUGGGAUUAGCUAGUUGGGGGGGUAAAGGCUCACCUAGGCGACGAUCCCUCGCUGGUCUGAGAGGAUGACCGGCAAAACUGGAAUGGAGACCCGGUCCAGACCCCUACGGGAGGCAGCAGUGGGGAUUAUUGCACAAUGGGCGCAAGCCUGAUGCAGCCAUGCCGCGUGUAGGAAGAAGUCCUUCGGGUUGUAAAGUACUUUCAGCGGGGAGGCGUUACCCGCAGAAGAAGCACCGGCUAACUCCGUGCCAGCAGCCGCGGUAAUAC
rnacentral:rRNA from 1 species